rnacentral:lncRNA from 1 species
GUAUUCCCAGUAUCCCCAGUUUCCGCCGAACCCCAAACAUCCCCAGACCCCGGCGGGUUCCAACAACUUUAAUGGGGCACAACAAGGGGGGGACAAAACCAGUUCAGGCUCCCAGUUUGUCCCAGUUUGGGUUCCCAGUUUGGGCUCCAAUCCCAGUUUGGGCUCCAAUCCCAGUUCACACUCCAAUCCCAGUCUGUCCCAGUUCGGGCUCCCAGUCUGUCCCAGUUUGGGUUCCCAGUUCACGCUCCAAUCCCAGUUCGGGCUCCAAUCCCAGUUUGGGUUCCCAGUUUGGGCUCCAAUCCCAGUCUGUCCCAGUCUGUCCCAGUUUGGGUUCCCAGUUCACGCUCCAAUCCCACUUUGGGCUCCCAGUUUGGGCUCCAAUCCCAGUCUGUCCCAGUCUGUCCCAGUUUGGGCUCCCACUCUAUCCCAGUUCGGGCUCCCAGUCUGUCCCAGUUUGGGUUCCCAGUUCACACUCCAAUCCCAGUUCGGGCUCCAAUCCCAGUUUGGGUUCCCAGUUUGGGCUCCAAUCCCAGUCUGUCCCAGUUUGGGUUCCCAGUCCAUCCCAGUCCAUCCCAGCUGUCCCAGUUGCUCCCAGUCCGUCCCAGUUUGGGUUCCCAGCUGUCCCAGUCACACCCAGUCCAUCCCAGUUUGGAUUCCCAGUUGCUCCCAGUCUCUCCCAGUCUCUCCCAGUUUGGGUUCCCAGUCCAUCCCAGUUUGGGUUCCCAGUCUCUCCCAGUCCAUCCCAGUUUGGGUUCCCAGCCGUCCCA